GGCAAGAUGGCCGAGCGGUCUAAGGCGCUAGACUCAAGAGACUCCAACAUCUCUUACACCCUUCCAAGGGUACUCAUUCUAGUCUCGAAAGAGGCGGGGGUUCGAAUCCCCCUCUUGUCA